UACGGAGGGUGCAAGCGUUAUCCGGAUUUACUGGGUUUAAAGGGUGUGUAGGCGGACUUUUAAGUCAGGGGUGAAAUCCCGGGGCUCAACCCCGGAACUGCCUUUGAUACUGGAUGUCUUGAGUGUGGUAGAGGUGAGUGGAAUUGCGAGUGUAGAGGUGAAAUUCGUAGAUAUUCGCAAGAACACCAGUGGCGAAGGCGGCUCACUGGCCCGAUACUGACGCUGAGGAGCGAAAAGCCAGGGGAGCCAAAGCGGG
rnacentral:rRNA from 1 species